rnacentral:rRNA from 1 species
AUGGCUCCCUCCGCGCCCCCGCUCCUCUCCCGCCGGCUCCUGGCCCUGACCCUCGCCCUCGCCGCCCUCGUUUCCCCCGCCUCCGCGGCCAGGAAGAUCCCGGCCUCCGUCACCCCGAUCUCGCGGGACCUCUACCGCCCCAGUGAUACCCUUCUGAGUGAGAUCAAGGCCCUGGUUGCUCGGAAUCCGGAUAGGUUGACUAUGGAUACAUUAAGAGCUGGUAACAAAGGGUAUUCUGCGGAGAUGUUCGUUGUUACUUUUAAUCAUGUGAAGAAAACCGCACAUGAUGGCUCGAAGAUUAAAAUCCUUCUGAGCUUUGGGCAGCAUGGCAGAGAACUUAUCACCUCUGAACUUGCAUUAAGUCUGCUCUACAUUUUGACGGAGAAGCGCAAAAUUGCGGGUGUGGAUCUAUCAUCCUUUGAGAAAAUUCUGGAGCAUCUUGUUAUCAAAGUGGUGCCAAUGGAAAAUUUUAAUGGCCGCAAGCGCGUUGAAGCAGGGGAGAUUUGUGAUAGGAGAAAUGGAAGAGGGGUUGAUCUUAACAGAAAUUGGAGUGUUGAUUGGGGAAAGAAGGAAAAGGAUUAUAACCCAUUUGAGGAGCAUCCCGGUACUGCUCCUUUCAGCGAACCUGAGGCCCAGAUCAUGCAAGAACUAUCCAAGUCAUUUAAACCACAUAUCUGGGUGAAUGUGCAUUCUGGAAUGGAGGCAUUAUUUAUGCCAUAUGACCACAAGAAUACUACACCAGAUGGAGCUCCUUCUCACUUGAUGAGGUCAGUUUUAGAGAAUGUGAACCAUCGCAAUUUCCAAGACAGCUGCCUAGUUGGAUCAGGUGGUGGAGCUGUAGGGUACCUUGCACAUGGGACUACAACUGAUUAUCUGUAUGACAUUGCGAAGGUGCCAAUGCCUUUCACAUUUGAGAUAUAUGGAGAUGAGAAGGCAUCCACCGAGGAUUGCUUCAAAAUGUUCAACCCUGUCGACAAGAUAACAUUUGAUAGAGUCAUUAACAAGUGGUGCAUGGCAUUUCUCAUACUUUUCGAGGAAGGGCUGCGAACCCUACCUGAUGGCCAGGUAGUAUCCCAAGGAGCACUGGAUAACUGGGUCCCUAUGGGAGGAGAGAUUUUGGAGAGAAAUAUGGACCAAAAGAGCGGCGGUGAAAAUGGGAAGCUUGAAGGCCUUGACCUCGGAAUGCAGGAGCUAAAAACCUACUUCAGGUUAUUUAUGCUAUCGACAUUCCUGCUGAUGUUCAUGUUCUGCUCGAGGAUAUCGAAAAACAGGAGCAGAGACUCAGAUGAACAAAGUAUAGCAUGA